UGGCGCGGCGGCCGCGGUGGUGGGUUUCAACUGCCACGUUCGGUUCGAUGUCUCCACCGCAGCGACCAGAGUGAUGACCCCAGCGACCACAGCGGCCUUCUCCGUGUAGGCCUUCUAGCUUUGAUCAUAGCCAACUUCAUUCUGAUAGUAGCCAACUACUGCACUCCUUCUCGCCGUUGCCGGUGAAGAGAACACAACACCGGCAGGUACUCUUUUUCUUUUUUUCUUUUUUUCGUUUUUGCUUUUGCUAUAUUUCUUUACUCAUGCACAAGGGGGAAAAUG